rnacentral:rRNA from 1 species
AGAGUUUGAUCAUGGCUCAGGACGAACGUUGGCGGCACGCUUAACACAUGCAAGUCGAACGAGAGAAGAGGAGCUUGCUUUUCUGAUCUAGUGGCGGACGGGUGAGUAACACGUGAGCAAUCUGCCUUUCAGAGGGGGAUACCGAUUGGAAACGAUCGUUAAUACCGCAUAACAUAAUUGAACCGCAUGAUUUGAUUAUCAAAGAUUUAUCGCUGAAAGAUGAGCUCGCGUCUGAUUAGCUAGUUGGUAAGGUAACGGCUUACCAAGGCGACGAUCAGUAGCCGGACUGAGAGGUUGAUCGGCCACAUUGGGACUGAGACACGGCCCAGACUCCUACGGGAGGCAGCAGUGGGGAAUAUUGCACAAUGGAGGAAACUCUGAUGCAGCGAUGCCGCGUGAGGGAAGAAGGUUUUAGGAUUGUAAACCUCUGUCUUCAGGGACGAAAAAAGACGGUACCUGAGGAGGAAGCUCCGGCUAACUACGUGCCAGCAGCCGCGGUAAUACGUAGGGAGCGAGCGUUGUCCGGAAUUACUGGGUGUAAAGGGAGCGUAGGCGGGAUCGCAAGUCAGAUGUGAAAACUAUGGGCUUAACCCAUAAACUGCAUUUGAAACUGUGGUUCUUGAGUGAAGUAGAGGUAAGCGGAAUUCCUAGUGUAGCGGUGAAAUGCGUAGAUAUUAGGAGGAACAUCAGUGGCGAAGGCGGCUUACUGGGCUUUAACUGACGUUGAGGCUCGAAAGCGUGGGGAGCAAACAGGAUUAGAUACCCUGGUAGUCCACGCCGUAAACGAUGAUUACUAGGUGUGGGGGGACUGACCCCUUCCGUGCCGCAGCAAACGCAAUAAGUAAUCCACCUGGGGAGUACGACCGCAAGGUUGAAACUCAAAGGAAUUGACGGGGGCCCGCACAAGCAGUGGAGUAUGUGGAUUAAUUCGAAGCAACGCGAAGAACCUUACCAGGUCUUGACAUCGUAUGCAUAGCUCAGAGAUGAGUGAAAUCUCUUCGGAGACAUAUAGACAGGUGGUGCAUGGUUGUCGUCAGCUCGUGUCGUGAGAUGUUGGGUUAAGUCCCGCAACGAGCGCAACCCUUACUGUUAGUUGCUACGCAAGAGCACUCUAGCAGGACUGCCGUUGACAAAACGGAGGAAGGUGGGGAUGACGUCAAAUCAUCAUGCCCCUUAUGACCUGGGCCUCACACGUACUACAAUGGCUGUCAACAGAGGGAAGCAAAGCCGCGAGGUGGAGCGAACCCCUAAAAGCAGUCUUAGUUCGGAUUGUAGGCUGCAACCCGCCUACAUGAAGUCGGAAUUGCUAGUAAUCGCAGAUCAGCAUGCUGCGGUGAAUACGUUCCCGGGCCUUGUACACACCGCCCGUCACGCCAUGGGAGUCGGUAACACCCGAAGCCUGUAGUCUAACCGCAAGGAGGACGCAGUCGAAGGUGGGAUUGAUGACUGGGGUGAAGUCGUAACAAGGUA